rnacentral:rRNA from 1 species
UACGUAGGGGGCUAGCGUUGUCCGGAAUCAUUGGGCGUAAAGAGCGUGUAGGCGGUCCGGUAAGUCCGAUGUGAAAGCCCCGGGCUUAACCUGGGAAUGGCAUUGGAAACUGGCGGGCUUGAGUGCGGCAGAGGGGGGUGGAAUUCCUGGUGUAGCAGUGAAAUGCGUAGAUAUCAGGAGGAACACCGAUGGCGAAGGCAGGUCUCUGGGCUGACACUGACGCUCAUGCACGAAAGCGUGGGGAGCAAACAGG